rnacentral:rRNA from 1 species
UACGUAGGGUGCAAGCGUUAAUCGGAAUUACUGGGCGUAAAGAGCGUGCAGGCGGCCAGGUAGGUCGGUUGUGAAAACUGGAGGCUCAACCUUCAGAGGUCGACCGAAACCAUCUGGCUAGAGUCCGGGAGAGGAGAGUGGAAUUCCUGGUGUAGCGGUGAAAUGCGCAGAUAUCAGGAAGAACACCCGUGGCGAAAGCGGCUCUCUGGAACGGUACUGACGCUGAGACGCGAAAGCGUGGGGAGCGAACAGG